rnacentral:rRNA from 1 species
GAUGAACGCUGGCGGUAUGCUUAACACAUGCAAGUCGAACGGACUCUUCGGAGUUAGUGGCGGACGGGUGAGUAACGCGUGAGAAUCUGGCUUUGGGUUCGGGACAACCACUGGAAACGGUGGCUAAUACCGGAUGUGCCGAGAGGUAAAAGAGAAAUUGCCUGAAGAUGAGCUCGCGUCUGAUUAGCUAGUUGGUGAGGUAAAGGCUCACCAAGGCAGCGAUCAGUAGCUGGUCUGAGAGGAUGACCAGCCACACUGGGACUGAGACACGGCCCAGACUCCUACGGGAGGCAGCAGUGGGGAAUUUUCCGAAAUGGGCGAAAGCCUGACGGAGCAAUACCGCGUGAGGGAAGAAGGCUCUUGGGUUGUAAACCUCUUUUCUUAGGGAAGAACAAAAUGACGGUACCUAAGGAAUCAGCAUCGGCUAACUCCGUG